UAGGAUUCUCGGCCCUCUAAGCUAAGAUCAUGUGUAGCAUCUGUUCUUUGCAGUGUAAUUUCUGCAACGGUCUCUAGACUGAAACCAGUGAAAUUACCUGUAUUUUUCCCUUACGGAGUUUGCUCAACUAUGGCCACGGGCCGGCCUCUUAUUGCAUUACCUCGAGGAUUGGUCAACUAAAU
rnacentral:snRNA from 1 species